UACGGGGGGGGCAAGCGUUGUUCGGAAUUACUGGGCGUAAAGGGCUUGUAGGUGGCCAACUAAGUCAGACGUGAAAUCCCUCAGCUUAACUGGGGAACUGCGUCUGAUACUGGAUGGCUUGAGUUUGGGAGAGGGACGCGGAAUUCCAGGUGUAGCGGUGAAAUGCGUAGAUAUCUGGAGGAACACCGGUGGUGUAGGCGGCUUGCUGGACCAUAACUGACGCUGAGGCACGAAAGCGUGGGGAGCAAACAGG
rnacentral:rRNA from 1 species